rnacentral:rRNA from 3 species
GGACUACAGGGGUUUCUAAUCCCGUUUGCUCCCCUGGCUUUCGCGCCUCAGCGUCAGAAGAGGUCCAGCCGUUCGCUUUCGCCACCGGCGUUCCUUCCGAUAUCAACGCAUUUCACCGCUCCACCGGAAGUUCCAACGGCCCCUACCUCGCUCGAGACCGCCAGUAUCCAGGGCUGUUUUCCGGUUAAGCCGAAAGAUUUCACCCCGGACUUGGUGGUCCGCCUACGCGCCCUUUAAGCCCAGUGAUUCCGAACAACGUUCGCACGGUUCGUCUUACCGCGGCGGCUGGCAC